GGUGCAGAACUGGGGAGAAGUCUGCCACUUGACAAGCUUCCAGGCAAUUUUAAUUAUCACAAAGAAUUAAUAUAACAAAUGUUUUGAUUAAGUUGCUGAAUGUGAGGACUUUGAACCAGAGCCAUGGCAGACUCACUAAGCAGCCAUGCCCUUUCCUCAGGAACUUGGUUGUUACCUCAAAAUCCUUCUCCGUUGAUUCCUGCAGCCACAACAAUUUUAUUGGAUAUAGCCUUGAAAAAGAGAUCAUCUCUAGAUCCAUUGCCUUACACACAGAAUCCUGACACAUCUGGACAAAUUGGGCCUCGGUCUUCUCCCCCUCCAGGGGGUUGCAAGUCUAUUUUGGGAGGAGGACCCUCAACUGGAUGCCAUGGGGCUCCCUGUGACUCACUGGGAGCUACAGAUUCUCUUCAUUCCCAUCAUAUGGAUCAGAAACACUUUCCCUAGCAAGGCAUGUGACUCCACUAUAGGAUACAAACAAGUUUCUAUAUCACAACAUUAUUAAUUCACAAAUAUUUUUAUAAAGCUGUAUUUGAGGAUAAGGACGAACGCUUUCAGCCUACUUACCCAUUUCAAUGGGAAAGGCAGACUUGGCAGGCUAAGGUGAUGUUGGGAGCAGCACUGUUUCCAAGUCCGCAGCCACAAGAGCAUCUAGUUCCUGUCUGCUCCUCUCUGAACGGUCUCUCGGCAUC
rnacentral:lncRNA from 10 species